AUACGGAGGGGGCUAGCGUUGUUCGGAAUUACUGGGCGUAAAGGGCGCGUAGGCGGCAUCGUCAGUCAGGCGUGAAAGCCCCGGGCUUAACCUGGGAACUGCGUUUGAUACUGCGAAGCUAGAGUGCGUAAGAGGAUGGUGGAAUUCCCAGUGUAGAGGUGAAAUUCGUAGAUAUUGGGAAGAACACCGGUGGCGAAGGCGGCUACCUGGACCGGUACUGACGCUGAGGCGCGAAAGCGUGGGGAGCAAACAGAAUUAGAAACCCCAGUAGUCC
rnacentral:rRNA from 1 species